rnacentral:rRNA from 1 species
UACGGAGGGGGCUAGCGUUGUUCGGAAUGACUGGGCGUAAAGGGCGUGUAGGCGGUUUAUUAAGUUAGGUGUGAAAGGCUUGGGCUUAACCUAAGGAGUGCAUCUAAUACUGAUAGGCUAGAGGCGAGGAGAGGAAAGCGGAAUUCCUAGUGUAGAGGUGAAAUUCGUAGAGAUUAGGAGGAACACCGGAGGCGAAGGCGGCUUUCUGGACUCGAACUGACGCUGAGGCGCGAAAGCGUGGGGAGCAAACAGG